rnacentral:sRNA from 1 species
ACUGAGGCAAGCUAGGGUUCCGGUCGCCAUGCCACGCGGCGAUGUCUGGUCCGAGAGCAUGCCGGCUCUGCACAUGCAGGGCUCCACGGAGGGAUAAAAGCCCGGGAGGU